rnacentral:rRNA from 1 species
UACAGAGGGUGCAAGCGUUAAUCGGAAUUACUGGGCGUAAAGCGUGCGUAGACGGUUAUGUAAGUCGGGUGUGAAAGCCCCGGGCUCAACCUGGGAAUGCCAUUCGAGACUGCAUAGCUAGGGUGCGGUAGAGGGUAGUGGAAUUCCCGGUGUAGCGGUGAAAUGCGUAGAGAUCGGGAGGAACACCAGUGGCGAAGGCGGCUACCUGGACCAGCACUGACACUGAGGCACGAAAGCGUGGGGAGCAAACAGGG